UUUUUUUUUUUUUUUUAAAUUUUAAAAGUAUCUAAUUUUCAGGCCCAAUAUAGUUGGUGAGAAUUAAAUUUAUAGUCUAUUUUACAUCGAUUUCUUACAAGUUUCAUCAUUUUCAGUAGAAGAGUUACAUUCCUAUCUAAAUUUUAAAUUUUCAAAAACAAGUUCCCCAAUAGUUUUUUUUUUAGUUUUUAGAAGUUGGACUGAUUUUUGAAAACGUUGAUAGAGAAUUUCUUGUUCGAUAACCUUAAAGUCUAUUUUCUCUCAAGUUAUUACAUGUUUAAGUGAAAAAAGUUAUAUUUCUAGACAAAUUUCAAAAACAAGUUUUUUACCUUUUCUUUUUAUUCAUUUGUUUAAAACUUAACUUGAUUUUUAAAAAUAUUGUAUAAAAAUAAAUAAUAAAACACUGAAAAUGAUAGCUUAAUUUUUUUAAAAAUGAAAUAUUAAGAGACCAUUUGAGAACUAUUUGAAUUUUUGCUUUUAAUUUUUUAGAAAAUAAUUAAAUUUAAUUUUUUCUGAUUUUUUACAAGAAAUAAGUUUACAAAAAUUAUAUGUUUUUAGCUUAAAAACAUGGCUUAAUUUUCUUAAAAUAUGAGUACAAUAAAGUAAAUAAAUUUUUAUACAGAAAGUUCCUUAUAAGCUUAUUUUUAAUAUUAGAAAACAGAAGGUUAAAAUGUUACUAAUCAAAAUCUAAAUGAUUAUAAGCGAUGUGACUACUAAAUUGAUCCUAAAUUUUUGUUACCGGUGGAUCUCUUGACAAUUUAAAAAUUCAUAAAAACAAAUUAGUACGUUGAAUAUAAAAUUAAAUUUAAUGUCUUUUAGUUCUAUUUCUAUUGAAAUUUUGAAUCGUAUAAAAACUUGAGAAUUUAAGAAAUUAAAUUUAUGAUUAAGAAAAUUUAGAGUUUAAUUAGACAUUCCUCACUCAAGUUUAGCAUCGAAUUGAAAAGUUAAGCCUAAGAUAAUUAAAAAAGAAUUGGAUAUGAAAAAAAAGAAUUAAUAAAAAAAGGACCAGAAGAUCGGUGAUUUGAUUGACUGAUGAUUUGGGCAUUGACCAAAAACGACGUGUGUUUCAUUACAAAGUGCUCACCCGACGAUCCCCAUCGUCACCCACGUCGUCAUCACCCAAUUAAUGUCUUACUUUUCUUUUACUUAACUUAUCAUUCUAUUCUUUUUAAUAAUUGUUUACUUCCAGACUCUGGCCAGUUACCGACAACCGUUCCCUUCCGAUUGACGGCGGCGAUGCUACUACUCCCAAAUUCUCCAGCAAAGCAGCACCGUCCGAUCUCUGAAUCUCUUCUCUCCUCUCUCAGUGUCAUUAAUGAAUCAAACAGAAACAGGAAAUUUUAGAAGAACAGAAUCUCAGAGAAUUGAACUUACAGUGGGAGGAGAUACGUUAUGAAGCACACAAGCAACAGCAACUCGCCAGCUUGGAAUAAUAAGUCUUUGAUGGCGGCUUUGAAGAGCAAAGAGAUCUGAAUGUUUGAAUAAGAAUGUGAAAUGAAAUUAGCGAUUGGAACUGAUUGUGUGUUCUUCAGUUGGCAAUUUUUGUGUUAUUUAUAUACACAAAAAUUGAAAAAAAAACCUUUUCGUUUUUUUUUUUUUUUUUUUUUUUUUUUUUUUUUUUUUGCCUUCAUUUUCUUUCCAUCUUUGUUUUAUUAGAUAAAUUAGAGUUACAUUUUUUGUAAAUAUUAAUUUCCACGUCAGCAUAUAAAUAUCCCUUUUUGUUUUGUUUUUC